UUAUGGUUAUACACAAAUGCAUUGAUAACUGUCGAAAGGUGGCUUUAGGUCGCUUCAAGAGUCCCUACACAUGGGGACUAGUGGUGGGACCUCCCCUGCUGGGCCACAUGAUGAUGAUUCCAGGUGUCUGCAGGAGUCACCUGUUGUGACAAAUAUGGACAGGGUUCAUUGCCAUACAAAACAUAAGAUUUUAGGCCAAAAAAAUGGGUGUUUAAAACAUAAAGUAAAAUACAUACAUACAAAAAGUAAAUAAAAAUAGCAUUUAUUAUAUGUACACAAAGAAUAACAUGCAUACGUAUAUUUACUUUUUUUUUUUUUUUUUUUUUUUUUGGAUUUAGCGUUGAAGAGAUGCUUCCCUUUGGGCUGACUGAUAUACUGUAUGGAGUGAAGGACUGGCAGCAUGAUUGCUGUAUGUGAUCCGGUGAGAGAUGGUUAUCAUGCUGAACACCCGGAGCGAUGCCUCAUACACAAACCUGUCACUCACAGGUCACUCGGUCACAUUUCUCACUCACAUAUGUGUGCUUUCUCACACCUCUGGGGUAUUUCUGAGUGCAUAUGUGUGUUUGUUUUAAUGGGUCAGUGUUUCAUAUCACAACAUAAAUAAAUGUCCAGUGAUCAUAUUAUAAAAAUAUUUAACUUGAUACAUAUGAUUGUAAAGUUGUAGUGGUACAAAUGAAACAGAACAUUAAGUAUAGGUUAUUUUGCCCUCUUGAUCUUUUGACCUAUUUUUGACAGGUUUAUUUGAGUUAAGGCAAGGUGGGUAGUUUUGACGGUUUUACAAUGUGAUAUUUGUAUGAAUAUUAAAUUCUUAUUGAAAAUGAGUUAAUUUUGUAGGAUUGUUCAAUUUUGGACAUACAACAUUGAGUCUUGCACAUUUGUGAACGAAACUUUAAAAACAAAAUGUAAAACAGCAUGCAACAUGGGAAAAUGAUACAAAAAUGUAUUAUUUUAUUAAUUAUAAUGAUAACAAUAAUUGAUAUAAAAGGAUAUGUGUAAAACAGACAGAAUGUUCUGGUAUAUUAUAUUGGUGUGUUCAGAUUAAGGUUCCAGUUCAGUUUGAAUUUAGCUGUUGUAUGUGAAAGCAUGAAAAUUACAUUACAAUGCAUAUCUUGAAAAGUGUUACCAUUUACACAGACUGUAUACGGAAUGUUACAUGCAAAAGUACAAUAUAAAGUUAGUUUAAAACUAUGAAAAUGUUAACGUCAUCACAACAUUUGGAAUGUUCUGAAAUACUCAACUAAAUCAGUUAUGUAAAACCAAAUGUUAAACGGUUAAAUGGUUACACUUUAAUUUCAAGGUGUCCUUGUUACAGUGUAAUUAUACAUGUAAGUACAUAGAAAUAUUAAUUAACUACAUGUACUUACUAUAUGGAUAGGAUUAGGGUUUGGCUUGGGGUUGCUUGCAUGUAAUUACACAUAAUUUAAAGUUAUUAUAAUAUUAAGUACAUGUAAGAUGUGUAACAAGGACACCUUAAAAUAGUGUUAUCCAAUUUUUUUUUUUUUUUAAAGCAACAUCUGUAAAUAACGGGCAAAAACAUACACGCCCAAAUUUCUAAACUUGUCCACAUCAUCCGGGAAGUGUGUUGUGUUUUCCAUGGUUUAAAACCAGAGCUGUGUGAAGCGGAAAACCGAGCUCUCGAGAUAGACCAGCUGUCAGAUCUAAGCCUGUAAACCCCACACAGACAUAAAGCCCACAUCCACAGCACCUGUUUUCCACGCAGACAAAAUCACUCACACUUCCUGUUGAUGUUUUUCUGUGUCAUCUUCAUUUGAGGAUUAUACAGUAUUACAAUUUUAAUUGAAAUGUAUUAUCAUCUUUUCAUCUUGCAAAGGAAGGUAUGAGAAUGCAGUUGAUUUAUAGAAUAAAGUUUGGUAGCCUGUUUAUUAAUCUCA